rnacentral:piRNA from 1 species
GAGGAAAGAGACUGUGCUGUGUG